UCUUAGGAUCGUAAAGCUCUUUCGCCUGUGAAGAUAAUGACGGUAGCAGGUAAAGAAACCCCGGCUAACUCCGUGCCAGCAGCCGCGGUAAUACGGAGGGGGUUAGCGUUGUUCGGAAUUACUGGGCGUAAAGCGCACGUAGGCGGAUUGGAAAGUUGGGGGUGAAAUCCCGGGGCUCAACCCCGGAACUGCCUCCAAAACUUCCAGUCUGGAGUUCGAGAGAGGUGAGUGGAAUUCCGAGUGUAGAGGUGAAAUUCGUAGAUAUUCGGAGGAACACCAGUGGCGAAGGCGGCUCACUGGCUCGAUACUGACGCUGAGGUGCGAAAGUGUGGGGAGCAAACAGGAUUAGAUACCCUGGUAGUCCACACCGUAAACGAUGAAUGCCAGUCGUCGGGCAGCAUGCUGUUCGGUGACACACCUAACGGAUUAAGCAUUCCGCCUGGGGAGUACGGCCGCAA
rnacentral:rRNA from 1 species